CCCGCCGGACCUGACUGCUAUCGGAUUGAUACUAAGCCAUGCGAGUCUUUGUAGUAAUACAAGGCAGACGGCUCAGUAACACGUAGUCAACCUACCCUAUGGACGAGAAUAAUCUCGGGAAACUGAGCAUAAUUCUCGAUAGAUCAUAAUGCCUGGAACGGUUUAUGGUUAAAAUGAUUCGUCGCCAUAGGAUGGGACUGCGGCCUAUCAGCUUGUUGGUGAGGUAAUGGCCCACCAAGGCGAUUACAGGUACGGGCUCUGAGAGGAGAAGCCCGGAGAUGGGUACUGAGACACGGACCCAGGCCCUAUGGGGCGCAGCAGGCGAGAAAACUUUGCAAUGUGCGAAAGCACGACAAGGUUAAUCCGAGUGAUUUCUGCUAAAGAAAUCUUUUGUCAGUCAUAAAACCACUGACGAAUAAGGGGUGGGCAAGUUCUGGUGUCAGCCGCCGCGGUAAAACCAGCACCUCAAGUGGUCAGGAUGAUUAUUGGGCCUAAAGCAUCCGUAGCCGGCUUUGUUAGUUUUCGGUUAAAUCCAUGUGCUCAACGCAUGGGCUGCCGAAAAUACUGCAUAGCUAGGGAGUGGGAGAGGUAGACGGUACUCAGUAGGUAGGGGUAAAAUCCUUUGAUCUAUUGAUGACCACCUGUGGCGAAGGCGGUCUACCAGAACACGUUCGACGGUGAGGGAUGAAAGCUGGGGGAGCAAACCGGAUUAGAUACCCGGGUAGUCCCAGCUGUAAACGAUGCAGACUCGAUGAUGCAUUGGCAUAAUAGCCAUUGCAGUGUCGCAGGGAAGCCGUUAAGUCUGCCGCCUGGGAAGUACGUACGCAAGUAUGAAACUUAAA
rnacentral:rRNA from 1 species